AUGCGUGGAAGCUUGCUAUCCAUGUGCCAGAGCUAUGAGUUGAAAGCACUUGCAGAGUUGAGGAGAAUUGAUUUAGAAGGGUUGCGGUGGCGUGUUUUUGAUGCAAAGGGCCAGGUACUUGGAUGGUUGGCAUCCCAAAUAGUUGUUCUGGAGAGGUGUGUUGUUCUUAAUGCAAAAGAUAUCUGUGUUAUAGGAAGAAAAAUGACUGGCAAAAUUUACUACUCGCAUAUUAGGUAUAUUGGCCACCUCAAGGAAAGAAAGCUCAAGGACCAUAUGGCAAAAGACCCAACUGAAGUGAUCCGUAAAGUUGUCAUGUGCAUGCUUCCUCGCAACAAAUUGCGUGAUGCGGAUCGCAAGCUGAGGAUCUUUGCUGAAGGUGAGCAUACAUUUCACGACCGACCUCUCGAACCUUUCGUCAUGCCACCACGCAAAGUACGUGAGAUGUGCCCCCGGGCAAGAUGUGCGAUGAUAAGGGCACAAAAGAAAGAUCAGGACAUGGAAGCUAAGAAAGCCGAGGGAGAAGCAGCCAAGAAUGGCAAAGCUACGGUCGCUGCAUAA
rnacentral:rRNA from 1 species